rnacentral:rRNA from 1 species
AUUGAACGCUGGCGGCAGGCCUAACACAUGCAAGUCGAGCGCGAAAGUUCUUCGGAAUGAGUAAAGCGGCGGACGGGUGAGUAAUACAUGGGAAUCUGCCUGGUAGUGGGGGACAACGUUUCGAAAGGAACGGCUAAUACCGCAUACGCCCUACGGGGGGAAAGGGGGGGAUCCUCGGACCUCUCGCUAUCAGAUGAGCC